AUGUCCUGCCAGGGCUCCGGCUUCACCUUCAGCAGCUUUGGCAUGGACUGGGUGCGACAGGCGCCCGGGAAGGGGUUCGAGUGGGUCACGAGUAUUUACAGUUGGGGUAGCGCCUACUACGCGCCUUCGGUCGAGGGGCGCUUCACCAUCUCCAGGGACAACUCCCAGAGCACGGUCACGCUGCAGAUGAACAGCCUCCGGGACGACGACACGGCCACCUACUACUGCGCGAAAAGUACUGGUGGUGAUUAUGGUGCUGGUAAUGCUGAUGGUGAUGCUUAUGGUGGUGGCACCAACCCUUUCUCCAUGGAACAACACCCCUGUGCCGUGUCCCCAGAUCGACCCUUCUUGGCCCAAACCUGA